GGGCGGGUAGCUCAGUGGUAGAGCAUCUGACUUUUAAUCAGGUGGUCGAGGGUUCGACCCCCUCCUCGCUCG
rnacentral:tRNA from 1 species